rnacentral:rRNA from 1 species
UGCCAGCCGCCGCGGUAAUACGAAGGGGGCUAGCGUUGUUCGGAAUUACUGGGCGUAAAGCGCACGUAGGCGGAUCGUUAAGUGAGGGGUGAAAUCCCAGGGCCCAACCCCGGAACUGCCUUGUAAACUCCUGGUCUUGAGUUCGAGAGAGGUGAGUGGAAUUCCGAGUGUAGAGGUGAAAUUCGUAGAUAUUCGGAGGAACACCAGUGGCGAAGGCGGCUCACUGGCUCGAUACUGACGCUGAGGUACGAAAGUGUGGGGAGCAAACAGGAUUAGAUA